GCAAGUCGAGCGAACAGAAGGGAGCUUGCUCCCGGAUGUUAGCGGCGGACGGGUGAGUAACACGUGGGUAACCUGCCUGUAAGACUGGGAUAACUCCGGGAAACCGGAGCUAAUACCGGAUAGUUCCUUGAACCGCAUGGUUCAAGGAUGAAAGACGGUUUCGGCUGUCACUUACAGAUGGACCCGCGGCGCAUUAGCUAGUUGGUGGGGUAAUGGCUCACCAAGGCGACGAUGCGUAGCCGACCUGAGAGGGUGAUCGGCCACACUGGGACUGAGACACGGCCCAGACUCCUACGGGAGGCAGCAGUAGGGAAUCUUCCGCAAUGGACGAAAGUCUGACGGAGCAACGCCGCGUGAGUGAUGAAGGUUUUCGGAUCGUAAAGCUCUGUUGUUAGGGAAGAACAAGUGCGAGAGUAACUGCUCGCACCUUGACGGUACCUAACCAGAAAGCCACGGCUAACUACGUGCCAGCAGCCGCGGUAAUACGUAGGUGGCAAGCGUUGUCCGGAAUUAUUGGGCGUAAAGGGCUCGCAGGCGGUUUCUUAAGUCUGAUGUGAAAGCCCCCGGCUCAACCGGGGAGGGUCAUUGGAAACUGGGAAACUUGAGUGCAGAAGAGGAGAGUGGAAUUCCACGUGUAGCGGUGAAAUGCGUAGAGAUGUGGAGGAACACCAGUGGCGAAGGCGACUCUCUGGUCUGUAACUGACGCUGAGGAGCGAAAGCGUGGGGAGCGAACAGGAUUUAGAUACCCCU
rnacentral:rRNA from 1 species